rfam:Pan troglodytes isolate Yerkes chimp pedigree #C0471 (Clint) chromosome 9, whole genome shotgun sequence.
GCCAGGCAUGGUGGCGUAUGCCUGUAAUCCCAGCUACUCGGGUGGCUGAGUCAGGAGAAUCGCUUGAACCCAGGAGGUGGAGGCUGCAGUGAGCUGAGAUCACGCCACUGCACUCCAACCUGGGCAACAGAGUGAGACUCUGUCUUUA